rnacentral:rRNA from 1 species
UAGUGGCGAACGGGUGAGUAACACGUGAGUAACCUGCCCUUGACUCUGGGAUAAGCGCUAGAAAUGGCGUCUAAUACCGGAUACGAGCUUCAGCCGCAUGGCUAGGAGUUGGAAAGAAUUUUGGUCAAGGAUGGACUCGCGGCCUAUCAGCUAGUUGGUGAGGUAAUGGCUCACCAAGGCGACGACGGGUAGCCGGCCUGAGAGGGUGACCGGCCACACUGGGACUGAGACACGGCCCAGACUCCUACGGGAGGCAGCAGUGGGGAAUAUUGCACAAUGGGCGAAAGCCUGAUGCAGCAACGCCGCGUGAGGGAUGACGGCCUUCGGGUUGUAAACCUCUUUUAGUAGGGAAGAAGCGAAAGUGACGGUACCUGCAGAAAAAGCACCGGCUAACUACGUGCCAGCAGCCGCGGUAAUACGUAGGGUGCAAGCGUUGUCCGGAAUUAUUGGGCGUAAAGAGCUCGUAGGCGGUUUGUCGCGUCUGCUGUGAAAUCUGGGGGCUCAACCCCCAGCCUGCAGUGGGUACGGGCAGACUAGAGUGCGGUAGGGGAGAUUGGAAUUCCUGGUGUAGCGGUGGAAUGCGCAGAUAUCAGGAGGAACACCGAUGGCGAAGGCAGAUCUCUGGGCCGUAACUGACGCUGAGGAGCGAAAGCAUGGGGAGCGAACAGGAUUAGAUACCCUGGUAGUCCAUGCCGUAAAC